rnacentral:rRNA from 1 species
AUUGAACGCUGGCGGCAGGCCUAACACAUGCAAGUCGAACGAGUGGCGGACGGGUGAGUAAUGUCUGGGAAACUGCCUGAUGGAGGGGGAUAACUACUGGAAACGGUAGCUAAUACCGCAUACCAUCGGAUGUGCCCAGAUGGGAUUAGCUAGUAGGUGGGGUAACGGGUGACCUAGGCGACGAUCCCUAGCUGGGCUGAGAGGAUGACCAGGCAAACUGGAACUGAGACACGGUCCAGACUCCUAGGGGAGGCAGCGGUGGAGAAUAUUGCACUAUUGGCGCAAGCCUGAUGCAGCCAUGCCGCGUGUAUGAAGAAGGCCUGCGGGUUGUAAAGUACUUUCAGCGGGGAGGCGUUACCCGCAGAAGAAGCGCCGGCUAACUCCGUGCCAGCAGCCGCGGUAAUAC